UACGUAGGGCGCAAGCGUUGUCCGGAAUUAUUGGGCGUAAAGAGCUCGUAGGUGGCUUGUCACGUCGGGUGUGAAAGCUUGGGGCUUAACUCCAGGUCUGCAUUCGAUACGGGCUGGCUAGAGGUAGGUAGGGGAGAACGGAAUUCCUGGUGUAGCGGUGAAAUGCGUAGAGAUCAUGAGGAAGACCAGUGGCGAAGGCGGGUCUCUGGACAGUUCCUGACACUGAGACACGAAGGCCAGGGGAGCAAACGGG
rnacentral:rRNA from 1 species